rnacentral:rRNA from 1 species
AGGGAUUAUUAGGGAUGCCUAGCAGAUAUGUUGAAAAGGAAGUAGAAUACUAAAAGUAUAGAUACAAUCAGAAUAUUUAUACAAUCCUAAGGUAAACCGAAUAGUAUAGAACGUUGGGAAGUAAAACAUUACAGUACCAAUAGGAAAGGAAAUCAAAAGAGACUCUGGGAGUAAUGGUGAGUGAAACCAGAAUAGCCAAAAUUUUUACUAACACGCAUAGUACUUUGGAAUAAGUAGACAUUAAAAUAGUGACAACAUUAUUUUCUGGGCGCCCAUAGAAGGUGAAAGUCCUGUAUGUGAUGAAAGUAAAGAUGUUAUUAAGUAAUAUGAGGACGUCAGCCUUGUAUGAAUAAGGGGGUACCAUCCUCCAAGGCUAAGUAUAACAUAUCUAGCGAUAGUGAAGAGUAACGUGAGUGAAAGGUGAAAAGUAAGUAGAUGACUAGUGAAAUAGAACCUGAACUAGUAAUCCUAUAAGCAGUUGGAGUUUUAGUAAGAAAUGACAACGUACCUUUUGCAUAAUGGGUCAGCGAGUUAGUUUAUAGAGCAAGAUGAAUAAUCUAAGCGAAAGCGACUAUAAUAAGUGGAUCAAGAAUAGUUUUAUGAACUAGACCCGAAGCCAAAUGAUCUUACCAUGGCCAGGCUAAAAAAGGGCCGAACAGGUGAAUGUUGCAAAAUUCUCUGAUGAGCUGUGGUAAGGGGUGAAAGGCCAAUCUAAUUUGGAUGAUAGCUGGUAUUCUGCGAAACCUAUUUAGGUAGGGCCUCUAUUUACAUUUUUAUAUGUACAGCACUGAUCAUCAUACAUUAGCCAGAUAUUUAAUAUCACUAUGUUAAAUUGGGGGGUUUCACAACUCUACCAUUGAUGGUUAACCUCGGAAGGAUAAUAAUGAAUGAUAGGGGCACAGUCUAUUCAUGAUAAGGUGGAUAGACAAAAGGGAAACAGCCCAGAGCACGUGUUAAGGUCCCAAAAUAUUGUUAAGUGAAUAUAAGAAAGUUUAACUCCUAAUACAACCAUGAAGUAGGCUUGGAGGUAGCCAUCUUUUAAUGAUAGUGUAACAACUCAGUGGUCUAACUUGAGGAGAGAAGCGUCGAAAAUUAACGGGUCUUAGACAAUAUACCUACACCGUGACUAUUUAUAAUAUUUAUUACUUUUUAUUAUAAGUAAGGGUAGCAGAACACUCAGUAUCUGAUUGAAGGAAAAUGUUUCAUUUUCUGGACAGUACUGAAGAGAAAAUGCUGACAUGAGUAACGUAGAAAGGAGUUAAAACACUCCUCGCCGAAUACGAGAGGGUUUCAUGGAGAAGUUAAUCUGCCAUGAGUUAUACGGACUCUAAGGAUUAUAGGCGAACGUCUAUAUCUGAUGAGAAUUACUACCAAUAUACACUGAAUUGUCUAUAUAUAAUAACCAUUUCUCUGUACGAAAAUUUACAGAGUGCAUAUAAAUGGCUAGAUCGAGAAAAAUAAGUGUCACUAGAUUUAUAGUGAAUCCGUACCCUAAACCGACACAGGUUCGUAGGUAGAGAAUACUAAGGCGUAGAGAUAAUGCUUGUGAAGGAACUCGGCAAAUUGUGCCCGUAAGUUAGACGAUAAGGGUAACCAGAAUAAAUAAUUAUAUUCUAAUUCUGAGUGUCACAAAAUCGAGGGCUGCGACUGUUUACCAAAAACACAGCAACUUGCUAAGACGAAUAGUACUUGUAUAAGUUGUGAACUCUGCCCAAUGCCAUGUCGUGUAAAGAAGGUGAUCUAUUUCUAGUGAAACAAAAUUUUACUAAAUAGUGUCACUAACUGAUGCCAUGGUGAAUGGCGGUCUUAACUAUAAGGAUCUGAAAGUAGCGAAAUUCCUUGGCCAUUAAAUGUGGUCCUGCAUGAAUGAGGUAACGUGGCCCUGCUGUCUCCACAAGCAUCUCAGUGAAAUUGAAUUAGCCGUGCAGAUGCGGUUUACCUUCAGUUAGACGGGAAGACCCUAUGCAGCUUUACUGUAGCUUGAUAUUGUUUCUUCUAUAGCUAGGUGUAGUAUACAAGGGAGUAGAUCUUUUUCUACGUCAGUGAAAUACCUUGACUAGUCUAAAGAAAAGACUUACCUAAUGCUAGUUAUAAACUAGUUCCUUAUGAAAAAUUGCUAUAAUUUUCUAGUUAAUUCUCUCUAAAUUCUAUAGAUGUAGAAGAGUUUUCUCUUUUUUCUAUAAAGAUUUUCCUCUAUUCCAUUUUUAAUACAGCCCUUUAAUAGAAAUAUUAAUUGGAAUAUUUUGUAAUAAAUAUAGACUGUAUAUAAAGAACUAGAAUAUUUCUUAGCUGGGAAAAUAUCAGGUGGUCAGUUUGACUGGGACGGUAGCCUCUAAUAAAGUAUCAGAGGCCUUCAAAGGUAUGCAUAUAUUGGUCAGAAACCAAUGAACUAUGUAAAGUUUAUUAAAGCGUAAUAGUAUAAGCAUGCUUGACUGAAAGACUGAUAGGUCGAUCAGAUACGCAAGUAGGAUAUAGUGAUCCGGUGAUUCAUAAUGGAAUGGUCAUCGCUCAAGAAAUAAAAGUUACGCUAGGGAUAAACUGUUGUCCCUAUCUAUUUAUUUUUUAUGUUAAAUAUUGAAAUAGCUACUAAAUCUAUCUAUAUUUAUAUAUUUAUAACCGCUAUAACAUAAAAGUAAGUAGAUACAAAAUCGGGUGAAUUGCAAGGACAUCUUAUCUUUAGAUAAGACAAUUUGCAGCUAAGCUUAAGUCAGUGUAUAUCUAAUAAUAAAAAUUAGAUAGUGAUUUAAGAAAGUUCAACGACUAAUCGGU